rnacentral:lncRNA from 1 species
UGUAUAUACUGGAAAUUCAGAAAUUAUUGCGAGGUUUUUAUUAUUGCGAAAAAUGUGACAGAGUUGUAAACGCAAUAAUUUAAACUCGCAUUUUGAAAUAUUUUGUAUGAAUUAAACAGGAUUUAUCAUAAAAUCGUAAAAAUAAAAAUCGCAUUUCAGUCAAAAAUGACAAAAUCGCAAUAAGAAAUGAACGCAAUAAUUUCUGAAUUUACAGUAUUCGUAUUGAGAUAAUCUUGCCAAUCUUAUAUUUUUUUUUAUCUAUUUUGAUAACACAGAAAACGGUAAUUGUAAAACUUAAACAUUUCUCAACCAAAACAUAUUGCUGAUAAAGGAAAACACGUCAUAAAUUCAUUUUCCGAAGUGAACACUCAAAAUGCAGGCGCAGAUCUGCUACGUUAAAUGAAAAAUGGAACAUUUCUUUAUCAAUUUCAUGAGGCCAUAGUACAUUACUCUAUAUUCCUUCAUCAGCAAUGUUCUUAUCCGAAUAUUUUAAAGCCAAUGAUGCAUAAGGACUGUAACAUGUGCUAGGUUAGACAUUUUUAUUACCAUAAAACCAGCAUUUAAUCUGUGUCCAGUGUGUGUCAUAUGCGCUUCGUUAUAAUUGCAUCUUAAUUUAGCGAGGAAGUGUUGUCUGUUGAAUGAUUAGCAUGUUACUUUUUGGACAUUGUGUUGAUCUAUAUGCGGCUUUCAUUCAAUAUGAUAUUUCUUCUCAAUUGUUAUUGCUAUAUGUGGAAUUCCUCAAAUUUGUGUAUACAAUUCAUAGGGAUUUUGCAAUCGUGUGUUGUAGAUUUUGAUGCAUGAACAUGCAUCUUCAUCCGAUUGCUGGUAAUAUGAUGUCUAUAACCUGAAUAACUUGUAAAUAUUCCUUGUUAUAUUGGAGAAAUAAAAAAAUUCAACUCAACG